UGUGUGUGUGUGUGUGUGUGUGUGUGUGUGUGUGUGUGUGUGUGUGUGUGUGCCCCCACUCCGUUCAAACAGCAAAUUGUUAUUCAUUUUUCAUGACCUGAGUGAUGGACCCAGGAAGGUCAAAGACGUUUGCAAAGGAUUCUGAUGGCCUGCUGAGGUGUGCUUUUGUGUGUGUUGAACAGUUCUGGGGGGCUAGCGGUGGAUAGGGACCCUAAAACGUGCCAGGCGGUAUUUUGGGAUUUACACUAGAGAGGACCGGACUAGGUCUGUUCAAGGGGCCCGUCACGGUUGCCACAUUCUCUGCGUAAUGUAUGCCAGUCUGUGUGCAGCGCAGUAUGUUACUCACCAAACACACAACUGGGACCGUCACAGCUGAUCACUUAUCAAACACACAACUGGGACCAACACAGCUUAUAACUUAUCAGUGUGUGUGUUGCCUCAGAAACCCCUGUGGUCAGAGCGUGUUACGUUUUGAAGAAGUAUCAUGAACAGUGCCGGGAAAGGCUGUUUUAUUUGUUUACACUCGAUUUACAAAUGCCUCCUAUGACACAUUGACAACAUGCAUUAAAGGAAAUGCAGUUUAUUUUAAAAUAAAAUAGUAUGAACUGAUCUAAGGAGAUAAAGAGGAAAGCAGGUAAUAUGUGCCUAAUUGUAUGUAAUAUGUGUAUUAUUGGACACCACAAAGACUUAACAGAGCAGGUAUAAUAAACAAUAAUUUGUGCUGGAAAUGUCAGAAAGACAUAGGUACUCUGCUACACUGCAUCUGGGAGUGCCCUGUUAUUCAACCAUUCUGGAAAAUAGUGGUGGACAAUUUGAGUAACUGGCUGGGGAGUGACAUACCUCUAUCGCCCAGAUUAUGCCUAUUAGGGGACAGAAGUCAAAUACAUAACAUAUCAAGCGCAGCAUUUUCUGUAAUCAUGGCAGGGAUUAUAACGGCUGCCAGGACUAUACUGAAAUUGUGGAAAACACCCAAACCUCCUGAAAUGAAAGAGUGGGUAAACAUUAUGAUAAAAACAGCUUCAUACGAAUUUAUGCUCAACAGGGUGGACAAUAGAAAUAAGAACAGAGCACCAAUUUGGAUCUCGUUCUGGGCUCACACUACACUUCCUGACGAGUAUGCAGCUUGAACACCUUCCUCUGAGUAUACCCAACAUCAAAAAUUGUUAUACAGAUUGAUAUUAUUCCUGGUUAUGUAACUAUCAACAUGUCCUUUACACAAAUGGUUUUAUUUGUACUCUAUUUUUAUUUCAUUUUUGUUUUGCUAUGCUACCGAUGUUACAUGUAAUGUGCAUAAUAAGAAAUGUCUCACAAUGUACAAUGUAUAAUGUGGUACUGUCACAACACCAACGCCUAAAUAAAAACUUGAAUUACAAAAGAUUGCGUUUCAACAAAGUUACGAAACACUACAGGGUGCUAAGCGUCGUUAUAAAUACACACGUUGCAUACACCUCCGCUCUGUUGGGUUUCACAGAAUAGCCAGAAACAAUGUCGGGCUACUCUUGUAAGCUCACUACACACAGAAAUCGUCGUGCCCCUCAAAUUCGUGCGUGUGUUUGUGUGUGUGUGUCCUGUGUCGCCUCCAUAAAAUGCACGUGUGUGUUGCAGUGUGCCGCUUGUGGCAAUAAAAGAACUGACUGACAAUCAGCCUUGUUUUGUUUGUAAAUUCCUCUCUGCACCCUUUUCGAAAUCUCCAGACAGUUGUCUCACGGUUGAUGUCUGUACCACUGGCAGCAUGUGAGAUGUUAAGGACGCGAUCCACUUAGAACCCAGGCAUCCGUUCUGAAGGCUCAGCACAGGGUUGAGUGUGCUGGGAGAGAGCAUCCUCACUCUUUUUCUUUC
ensembl:lncRNA